GAUGAACGCUAGCGGGAGGCCUAACACAUGCAAGCCGAGCGGUAGAGUUUCUUCGGAAACUUGAGAGCGGCGCACGGGUGCGUAACACGUGUGCAACCUACCUUUAUCUGGGGGAUAGCCUUUCGAAAGGAAGAUUAAUACCCCAUAAUAUAAUGAUUGGCAUCAAUUAUUAUUGAAAACUCCGGUGGAUAGAGAUGGGCACGCGCAAGAUUAGAUAGUUGGUGAGGUAACGGCUCACCAAGUCAAUGAUCUUUAGGGGUCCUGAGAGGGAGAUCCCCCACACUGGUACAGAGACACGGACCAGACUCCUACGGGAGGCAGCAGUGAGGAAUAUUGGACAAUGGGUGAGAGCCUGAUCCAGCCAGCCCGCGUGAAGGAUGACGGUCCUAUGGAUUGUAAACUUCUUUUGUACAGGGAUAAACCUACUCUCGUGAGGGUAGCUGAAGGUACUGUACGAAUAAGCACCGGCUAACUCCGUG
rnacentral:rRNA from 1 species